rnacentral:rRNA from 1 species
GACGAACGCUGGCGGCGUGCUUAACACAUGCAAGUCGAACGAAGAGCGACGGAAGCUUGCUUCUAUCAAUCUUAGUGGCGAACGGGUGAGUAACGCGUAAUCAACCUGCCCUUCAGAGGGGGACAACAGUUGGAAACGACUGCUAAUACCGCAUACGAUCUAAUCUCGGCAUCGAGGAUGGAUGAAAGGUGGCCUCUACAUGUAAGCUAUCACUGAAGGAGGGGAUUGCGUCUGAUUAGCUAGUUGGUAAGGUAACGGCUUACCAAGCCGACGAUCAGUAGCCGACCUGAGAGGGUGACCGGCCACAUUGGGACUGAGACACGGCCCAA